CCUACGGGUGGCAGCAGUGAGGAAUAUUGGUCAAUGGACGAGAGUCUGAACCAGCCAAGUCGCGUGAAGGAUGACUGCCCUAUGGGUUGUAAACUUCUUUUAUAAAGGAAUAAAACGAGGCACGUGUGCCUUUUUGCAUGUACUUUAUGAAUAAGGAUCGGCUAACUCCGUGCCAGCAGCCGCGGUAAUACGGAGGAUCCGAGCGUUAUCCGGAUUUAUUGGGUUUAAAGGGAGCGUAGAUGGGUUGUUAAGUCAGUUGUGAAAGUUUGCGGCUCAACCGUAAAAUUGCAAUUGAUACUGGCAGUCUUGAGUACAGUUGAGGUAAGCGGAAUGCGUGGUGUAGCGGUGAAAUGCUUAGAUAUCACGAAGAACCCCGAUUGCGAAGGCAGCUUACUAAACUGUGACUGACAUUGAUGCUCGAAAGUGUGGGGAUCAAACAGGAUUAGAUACCCCAGUAGUC
rnacentral:rRNA from 1 species